UACGUAGGGUGCAAGCGUUAAUCGGAAUUACUGGGCGUAAAGCGUGCGCAGGCGGUUUUGCAAGUCAGAUGUGAAAGCCCCGGGCUUAACCUGGGAAUGGCAUUUGGGACUGCAAGGCUUGAGUGCGGCAGAGGAGACUGGAAUUCCUGGUGUAGCAGUGAAAUGCGUAGAUAUCAGGAGGAAUACCGAUGGCGAAGGCGGAACUCUGGGCCGGAACUGACGCUGAGGAGCGAAAGCGUGGGGAGCGAACAGG
rnacentral:rRNA from 1 species